GACGAACGCUGGCGGCGUGCCUAAUACAUGCAAGUAGAACGCUGAAGAGAGGAGCUUACUCUUCUUGGAUGAGUUGCGAACGGGUGAGUAACGCGUAGGUAACCUGCCUUGUAGCGGAGGAUAACUAUUGGAAACGAUAGCUAAUACCGCAUAACAAUGGAUGACACAUGUCAUUUAUUUGAAAGGGGCAAUUGCUCCACUACAAGAUGGAUCUGCGUUGUAUUAGCUAGUAGGUGAGGUAAUGGCUCACCUAGGCGACGAUACAUAGCCGACCUGAGAGGGUGAUCGGCCACACUGGGACUGAGACACGGCCCAGACUCCUACGGGAGGCAGCAGUAGGGAAUCUUCGGCAAUGGGGGCAACCCUGACCGAGCAACGCCGCGUGAGUGAAGAAGGUUUUCGGAUCGUAAAGCUCUGUUGUAAGUCAAGAACGGGUGUGAGAGUGGAAAGUUCACACUGUGACGGUAGCUUACCAGAAAGGGACGGCUAACUACGUG
rnacentral:rRNA from 1 species